GGAGUCUAUUCAAGUGUGUGGUAUUUAACGACCAGAGCAGUGGCCAGAACCACAAUCAGCGUCUGGACUGAACGACCACCUCAAGCUAGUGAAGAGACAAGCGUAGUGUCCAACGAGCUUGACGUGGAGUACACUGAGGUGGUGCAUCCACGAUCCGCAGAUCCACCAAGAGCUCCACUGAAGAAAGGCACAGAAACGGUGUACAGUGAGCUACAGAACUCUCUACAUGGUGAGUUUGUUAUUUAAGUUUUACUCAGAUUUUAUGUCUGUGUAAGCUCUCAGUUGUAAAAAAGUUUUCCAUUUC
rnacentral:lncRNA from 1 species